UGUCAGCUUUUUGGCUUUUUAUUUUAGUGACUGGAGGAGCAUCCUGGCAAAGCACCGGCACAGAGAAGGACCUGGUGGGUCCCUGGUGCCGUGCUGCAGUCUCAAGGUGUUCUUGACCCUGCUCGCCUUGUUGCUGGUGGAGUUGAGGGACGUGCUUGUCCCCGGAGGGUGCUGCCGCCCCUUGGUGGCACCAGGGAUGGCGGAAGCUCUUCAGGAUGCAGGCUUCUUGCUUUUGCACAGGUGAAGAGUCGGCUGCUGUAAUGAUGCCAUCGCAGCAGAGAGCAGAGGAAGGGACCAGUUUUAGCCUCAAGUGCAUUAAAGACAAAAAGGUCC